rnacentral:tRNA from 2 species
CGGUCAGAUGGGCCAGUGGAAAGAGGCCGGCGGCUACCAGCGUCCCGAGUGGGAUCAGUUCAAGACCGAUCUGGCCGGC